UGGGGAAUUUUGGACAAUGGGCGAAAGCCUGAUCCAGCAAUGCCGCGUGUGUGAAGAAGGCCUUCGGGUUGUAAAGCACUUUUGUCCGGAAAGAAAUCCUUGGCUCUAAUACAGUCGGGGGAUGACGGUACCGGAAGAAUAAGCACCGGCUAACUACGUGCCAGCAGCCGCGGUAAUACGUAGGGUGCAAGCGUUAAUCGGAAUUACUGGGCGUAGAGCGUGCGCAGGCGGUUUGCUAAGACCGAUGUGAAAUCCCCGGGCUCAACCUGGGAACUGCAUUGGUGACUGGCAGGCUAGAGUAUGGCAGAGGGGGGUAGAAUUCCACGUGUAGCAGUGAAAUGCGUAGAGAUGUGGAGGAAUACCGAUGGCGAAGGCAGCCCCCUGGGCCAAUACUGACGCUCAUGCACGAAAGCGUGGGGAGCAAACAGGAUUAGAUACCCUGGUAGUCCACGCCCUAAAACGAUGUCAACUAGUUGUUGGGGAUUCAUUUCCUUAGUAACGUAGCUAACGCGUGAAGUUGACCGCCUGGGGAGUACGGUCGCAAGAUUAAAACUCAAAGGAAUUGACGGGGUCAUAGCUGUUU
rnacentral:rRNA from 1 species